NCAGNUCCAAUAGCGUCUAUUAAAGUUGUUGCAGUUAAAAAGCUCGUAGUUGAACUUCAGGCCUGGCCGGGCGGUCUGCCUAACGGUAUGUACUGUCUGGCUGGGUCUUACCUCUUGGUGAGCCGGCAUGCCCUUCACUGGGUGUGUCGGGGAACCAGGACUUUUACCUUGAGAAAAUUAGAGUGUUCAAAGCAGGCUUAUGCCCGAAUACAUUAGCAUGGAAUAAUAAAAUAGGACGUGCGGUUCUAUUUUGUUGGUUUCUAGAGUCGCCGUAAUGAUUAAUAGGGAUAGUUGGGGGCAUUAGUAUUCCGUUGCUAGAGGUGAAAUUCUUGGAUUUACGGAAGACUAACUACUGCGAAAGCAUUUGCCAAGGAUGUUUUCAUUAAUCAAGAACGAAGGUUAGGGGAUCGAAAACGAUCAGAUACCGUUGUAGUCUUAACAGUAAACUAUGCCGACUAGGGAUCGGGCGAACUCAAUUUGAUGUGUCGCUCGGCACCUUACGAGAAAUCAAAGUACUUUGGGUUCUGGGGGGAGUAUGGUCGCAAGGCUGAAACUUAAAGGAAUUGACGGAAGGGCACCACCAGGUGUGGAGCCUGCGGCUUAAUUUGACUCAACACGGGGAAACUCACCAGGUCCAGACAUGACUAGGAUUGACAGAUUGAUAGCUCUUUCAUGAUUUUAUGGGUGGUGGUGCAUGGCCGUUCUUAGUUGGUGGAGUGAUUUGUCUGGUUAAUUCCGAUAACGAACGAGACCUUAACCUGCUAAAUAGCCCGGCCGGCUUUUGCUGGUCGCUGGCUUCUUANAGGGACUGUCUGCGUCUAGCAGACGGAAGUUUGAGGCAAUAACAGGUCUGUGAUGCCCUUANAUGUUYUGGGCCGCACGCGCGCUACACUGACACAGCCAGCGAGUUUUUUUCCUUGGCCGGAAGGUCUGGGUAAUCUUGUGAAACUGUGUCGUGCUGGGGAUARAGCAUUGCAAUUAUUGCUYUUCAACGAGGAAUACCUANUAAGCGUGAGUCAUCAGCUCGCGUUGAUUANGUACCCUGCCCUUUGUACACACCGCCCGUCGCUACUACCGAUUGAAUGGCUUAGUGAGACCUUGGGAUUGGCUUCGAGGAACCGGCAACGGUACCUUGUUGCUGAGAACUUGGUCAAACUUGGUCAUUUAGAGGAAGUAAAAGUCGUAACAAGGUUUCCGUAGGUGAACCUGCGGAAGGAUCAUUAUCGAUUUUGAACGGGUUGUCNCUGGCCUCUC
rnacentral:rRNA from 1 species